CAAUGGCCUCCCUUGCCCAGCUCUCUACCCCAUUGCCGUCAGAGCCAUCAGCAGCAGCGCCGCCGCCGACCGCCAGUGCUCCCGCUGGGGCGCUGCACCUGGAGCGCUUCCUGGAGUCUGUCCUAAAGCAGAACCUCGAUACUGUCCUGUCGCAGCGCGAUGAGCUGUACGCGACUGUGGCGCAGUGUGCCCAACUGCGGUGGCUGAUGGAGGACAUGCAGGCCCUAUCCCGCUACCAUUCCUUCAUCGAGGCGUCCACCGCAGCCGAAGCGGCGGCAGCAGUGGCGCUCUCUGCGUCGUCGCCUUUAGCUAGCGGUGCAGCCAACGCAUCGCCGCCGCUGAUGAGCAAGCGCGCGCAGGCGGAUGCCUACAAGCCGCCUCGGAAGAACAAGAUCUUGGUGGACCUCGGCAACCAUUUCUACACGCAGGGCGUCGUCAAGGACGCUGGCGUUCUGUUCAUGAACAUGGGCUGUGGUGUUGUGCUGCCCAUGUCCCUUGAUGAGGCUCGCGAGUUCCUGCGAAAGAAGGAGGCGGUGGUGCGUCGGAUGAUCAUGAACAAGUCGAAGGAGGCGCUGCGCAUCAAGUACCGCAUCCGGCUGGUGACAGAGGCAAUCGCACGGCUUCACGAGCGACAUCUUGGGCUAUAACGCGCGGCAGGGCGCCAUCACCCUCCCUCCCUCUGCCUCUCAGCUAUGUGGAGGCGGAGCGACUUACUCGCAAGUACUGCAGCGCGCAACAUAGCGCUGCGACUACAAGGAAAGAUGCAAAACUCAAUGGCAGACAGUGUGCCAUCAAGCAUCACCGGACGCUGCCGCUUGGCCAAACACAAACCGCCUUUUCCUGAGUGGGGCGGUGCAGAAGGUGAUGGAGGGACGCACCGUCACGCUGAUGCUGUCGCCCCUUUUCCUUCUCUCUGGCUUACUGUCGCAGUGGUGCGGCUCUCUGUCGAUGCUGUUAGAGGGUCGCCUCUCCGUCCGCGCACAGACGCGCGCACAUGUCUGUUGCGUUCCAUAAACUUACCCCUUCUCUGCUUCCCUCGCCCCCUUCACGGGCCACGUCGUUGCCCAUACACGCACCUCGGCACGCGCCAG
rnacentral:misc_RNA from 1 species